UACGUAGGGGGCAAGCGUUAUCCGGAUUUAUUGGGCGUAAAGCGAGCGCAGGCGGAAAGAUAAGUCUGAUGUGAAAGCCCCCGGCUUAACCGAGGAAUUGCAUCGGAAACUGUGUUUCUUGAGUGCAGAAGAGGAGAGUGGAACUCCAUGUGUAGCGGUGGAAUGCGUAGAUAUUAGGAGGAACACCAGUGGCGAAGGCGGCUUACUGGACUGUAACUGACGUUGAGGCUCGAAAGCGUGGGUAGCGAACGGG
rnacentral:rRNA from 1 species